rnacentral:tRNA from 1 species
GCGGUCGUGGCGGAAUCGGCAUACGCGCACGUUUGAGGGGCGUGUGGGUCAAACCGUACGGGUUCAAGUCCCGUCGACCGCACCA